UGAUCCUGGCUCAGGAUGAACGCUAGCGGCAGGCCUAAUACAUGCAAGCCGAACGGUAACAGGUUCUUCGGAACGCUGACGAGUGGCGGACGGGUGCGUAACGCGUAUGCAACUUGCCCACUACUGGGAAAUAGCCCGGGGAAACUCGGAUUAAUGUCCCAUAAUGCAGGGGAUUCGCAUGGAUCUAUUGUUAAAGAUUUAUUGGUAGUGGAUGGGCAUGCGUAGGAUUAGCUAGUUGGUAGUGUAAUGGACUACCAAGGCUACGAUCCUUAGGGGGUCUGAGAGGAUGAUCCCCCACACUGGUACUGAGAUACGGACCAGACUCCUACGGGAGGCAGCAGUAGGGAAUAUUGGGCAAUGGGUGAGAGCCUGACCCAGCCAUGCCGCGUGCAGGAAGACGGCCCUCAGGGUUGUAAACUGCUUUUCUACGGGAAGAAAGAGGUUGUGCGCAACCAGUUGACGGUACCGUAGGAAUAAGCACCGGCUAACUCCGUGCCAGCAGCCGCGGUAAUACGGAGGGUGCAAGCGUUGUCCGGAUUUAUUGGGUUUAAAGGGUACGUACGCGGGCGUCUACGUCAGUGGUGAAAGCCUACCGCUUAACGGUGGAAUUGCCAUUGAUACUGGAUGUCUUGAGUAUAGUACAGGUGGGCGGAACUUCAUGGUGUAACGGUGAAAUGCAUAGAUACCAUGAGGAACACCGAUAGGGAA
rnacentral:rRNA from 1 species